GACGAACGCUGGCGGCGUGCUUCACACAUGCAAGUCGAGCGGUGAAGCCCCUUCGGGGGUGGAGCAGCGGCGAACGGGUGAGUAACACGUGGGCAACCUGCCCCUAGCACUGGGAUAACC
rnacentral:rRNA from 1 species